rnacentral:rRNA from 1 species
AACGAACGCUGGCGGCAUGCCUAACACAUGCAAGUCGAACGAGACCUUCGGGUCUAGUGGCGCACGGGUGCGUAACGCGUGGGAACCUGCCCUUAGGUUCGGAAUAACUCCCCGAAAGGGGUGCUAAUACCGGAUAAUGUCUUCGGACCAAAGAUUUAUCGCCUUUGGAUGGGCCCGCGUUGGAUUAGCUAGUUGGUAGGGUAAAAGCCUACCAAGGCGACGAUCCAUAGCUGGUCUGAGAGGAUGAUCAGCCACACUGGGACUGAGACACGGCCCAGACUCAUACGGGAGGCAGCAGUGGGGAAUAUUGGACAAUGGGCGAAAGCCUGAUCCAGCAAUGCCGCGUGAGUGAUGAAGGCCUUAGGGUUGUAAAGCUCUUUUACCCGGGAUGAUAAUGACAGUACCGGGAGAAUAAGCUCCGGCUAACUCCGU